GCCAUAGCUUAUUGGUACAGCAUCUGCUUUACAUGUAGAAGCUCCCAGGUUUGAACUCUGGCAUCUCCA
rnacentral:tRNA from 1 species